rnacentral:rRNA from 1 species
UACGUAGGAUGCGAGCGUUGUCCGGAAUUACUGGGCGUAAAGCGCGCGUAGGCGGUUUCUUGCGUGGGUUGUGAAAGCUCUCGGCUUACCUGAGAGAGGGCAGUCCAAACGGGGAGACUAGAGGGCGGUAGGGGCUGGCGGAAUGCCUGGAGUAGCGGUGAAAUGCGUUGAGAUCAGGCAGAACACCAGUGGCGAAGGCGGCCAGCUGGGCCGUACCUGACGCUGAGGCGCGAAAGCUAGGGGAGCGAACGGA